UUUUCCUCUCUAUUUGUUAAGGCUUGCCUUUUGCUUUGUGUAUUGUCAGUAACCUAGAUUUCCAGUCCACAACUAGAUAUUUUUUCAAAAAAUAGAAGUCAUAGGUAAGUGCUGGUUAAUAAGAAACAAGGAUAUAUAUUCAGAAGAUGCGAAUGUAGGGCCGUUUGGUUGGAGGAAUUAAGUCAGUUUUCCUGGUAUGAAAUUUCGGAUUAAAUCAACCUUGUGUUUUUUUUUUUUUUUGAGGACAAGGGAACCCCGCAGCCGCUACCCUUUGGGUGCGCACAGGGUAAAACCCCCGCUCCUAUGCAAAAGCUCGCAAACCACAGAGCAGAGGUAACCCGCACUAGGCAAGCCCGGCACGACGAGCUCGACACAGAAGGCAAACCCCUUGCUUUCGCUGGCAAGGGGUUUCGAACUUGAGACCUCCAACAGGGAAGUCCCAAGCCCAAACCACUGGGCCACCCCGAAGGGUAAAUCAACCUUGUGUUUUUUUUUUUUUUUUUUUUUGAUGACAAGGGAACCCCGCAGCCGCUACCCUUUGGGUGCGCACAGGGUAAAACCCCCGCUCCUAUGCAAAAGCUCGCAAACCACAUAGGAGAGGUAACCCGCACUAGGCAAGCCCGGCACGACGAGCUCGACACAGAAGGCAAACCCCUUGCUUUCGCUGGCAAGGGGUUUCGAACUUGAGACCUCCCACAUGGAAGUCCCAAGCCCAAACCACUGGGCCACCCCGAAGGGUAAAUCAACCUUGUGUUUUUUUUUUUUUUUGAUGCCAAGGGAACCCCCCAGCCGCUACCCUUUGGGUGCGCACAGGGUAAAACCCCCGCUCCUAUGCAAAAGCUCGCAAACCACAUAGGAGAGGUAACCCGCACUAGGCAAGCCCGGCACGACGAGCUCGACACAGAAGGCAAACCCCUUGCUUUCGCUGGCAAGGGGUUUCGAACUUGAGACCUCCCACAUGGAAGUCCCAAGCCCAAACCACUGGGCCACCCCGAAGGGUAAAUCAACCUUGUGUUUGGUUGAGGGUAUUAGGUAAAACCAUUUAUAUGGUAUCUAUGCCAUGUAGAGGGUGAGAGAUAUAAUCUUGGUUAUAAUCCCAGGAUAACCUGGUUUCGAACCAAAUGACCCCCAAGGAUACAAUAGGAAAAGGGGAAAAUUCAACCAAUAUUUAGAUACUACACACAUAGUAGGUAUUAGUAGGGGUGUGUAUUCAGUUACCGGUUUGGUUUUAGAAAUAACAUGAUUUUUUUCAAUUUUUGGUUUUGAGAAAGUGUAAUCUUAUUCAAACCCAACUAGGUUCGG
rnacentral:lncRNA from 1 species